AGUGAACGCUGGCGGCAUGGCUAAGACAUGCAAGUCGAACGGUAAGGCCCUUCGGGUACACGAGUGGCGAACGGGCGAGUAACACGUGAACAACCUGCCCUUGACUCUGGGAUAACAGUUGGAAACAGCUGCUAAUACCGGAUACGAGCCUGCAAGACAUCUUGCGGGCUUGAAAGCUCCGGCGGUCAAGGAUGGAUUCGCGGCCUAUCAGCUUGUUGGUGAGGUAACGGGCUCACCAAGGCUUCGACGGGUAGCCGGCCUGAGAGGGCGACCGGCCACACUGGGACUGAGAUACGGCCCAGACUCCUACGGGAGGCAGCAGUGGGAAUAUUGCGCAAUGGGCGAAAGCCUGACGCAGCAACGCCGCGUGCGGGAUGACGG
rnacentral:rRNA from 1 species